AAUGAUAACGACAACGAGUGUCUGCGUCGAAAGACGUGGGUAAUCUUUAAUCGUUAUCGUGAUGGGGAUUGACCGUUGUAACUGUCGGUCAUGAAA
rnacentral:rRNA from 1 species